GUGUGUGUGUGUGUGUGUGUAUCUGACUAUCCUUGUCUUCAAAGUAACAAUAAUAAUAAAAAUUGACACUCAAAGUAUAAUUCAGAGCAGUACUCCCUAACUUUUGAAAAUUUAUAAUCAAGCGCAAUUAAAAUAUUUAACAGAAACCCACAAAGUUUUACUCUCAAUCAAUGCAAGUGUUUGCUCGAAUCACUCUCCAAAGCCCCACCUAAAAAGUAAUUGUAACCAUAACAUUUAAAAUAUGAAGAAACGGGUGUUCAAGGAUUCCCACAAAAUGCCAUAAAAUAGAACAAAGUUCAGAGCUUUCUCCUUUAAAAUGAGGAAAAAGAAAACAUUUUCAGUUUCUCAGCAACCAAACA
rnacentral:misc_RNA from 1 species